rnacentral:rRNA from 1 species
CCCCCGCCGCUGGUCGCAUUCGUACUUCCACUUUUAGUGCCGCUACCACUACUCUUUUCAUUUCCGGAACUCGCGCUUCACUGGCGACCGAACCCUUCCGGGAGACGACGGAUGAGAGAAGGAGACGAGAGAAGGGAACGAGCAGUGACUACUCGCGACCGACCCCCACCCCUCGACCUCUCGCCGCCGCGGCCGCCGAACGAGAAAGCGGGAGAGACGCCUUAGACCCCUUAGGCGCCGGCGCUCCCGUCCGGAGACGAGGGCGAGCCUCGGG